CUAGAAAAAUUGGACCAAAUCAUCCAUCCCACGCACACAGAUGGACCUAAAAUACGUUUCAACUGGCUGAGUAUCACAUUCUGGCAUUAAAAAAUCAAAAAAAUAGACAAUAUAAAUAAAACAUCAUUUUGAAAUAUUGGUUUAGACAUUCCUGAGAAAAUUACAUUUUGUGACAUUUGUCCAACUGCUAUGGCUUUAUGUGAAAAUCGGCAAUUUAGGACAAAGCACAAUUUUUUUUAUUAUUAUAGUUGAUA
rnacentral:lncRNA from 1 species